AAACUACUCCCUCUGUCUAACAAAGGAUGUCUCAACUUUGAUCAAAUUUGAAUGUAUCUAUAUAUUAAAUCAUGUCUAGAUACAUUCAAAUUUUGACAAACUUGAGACAUCUUUUAUUGGAUGGAUGGAGCAUUUG
rfam:Brachypodium distachyon strain Bd21 chromosome 1, whole genome shotgun sequence.